rnacentral:rRNA from 1 species
AUACGGAGGGUGCAAGCGUUAAUCGGAAUUACUGGGCGUAAAGCGCACGCAGGCGGUUUGUUAAGUCAGAUGUGAAAUCCCCGGGCUCAACCUGGGAACUGCAUCUGAUACUGGCAAGCUUGAGUCUCGUAGAGGGGGGUAGAAUUCCAGGUGUAGCGGUGAAAUGCGUAGAGAUCCGGAGGAAUACCGGUGGCGAAGGCGGCCCCCUGAACGAAGACUGACGCUCAGGUGCGAAAGCGUGGGGAGCAAACAGGAUUAGAUCCCCUGGUAGUCCACGCCGUAAACGAUGUCGACUUGGAGGUUGUGCCCUUGAGGCGUGGCUUCCGGAGCUAACGCGUUAAGUCGACCGCCUGGGGAGUACGGCCGCAAGGUUAAAACUCAAAUGAAUUGACGGGG